GAGUUUGAUCAUGGUUCAGGAUGAACGCUGGCGGCGCGCUUAACACAUGCAAGUCGAACGGAGACUUAAAGGAAGUUUACUUGCUUUAAGACUUAGUGGCGGACGGGUGAGUAACGCGUGGAUAACCUGCCUAAUAGCUGGGGACAACACCGGGAAACUGGUGCUAAUACCCGAUACGCUCAUUGGAACACAUGUUCUGAUGAGGAGAGGAGCAAUCCGCUAAUAGAUGGGUCCGCGUCCCAUUAGCUAGUUGGAGGUGUAAUGGACCCCCAAGGCGACGAUGGGUAGCCGGCCUGAGAGGGUGGACGGCCACACUGGAACUGAGACACGGUCCAGACUCCUACGGGAGGCAGCAGUGGGGAAUCUUCCGCAAUGGGCGAAAGCCUGACGGAGCAACGCCGCGUGAAUGAUGAAGGCCUUCGGGUCGUAAAAUUCUGUCUUCAGGGAAGAAACAAAUGACGGUACCUGAGGAGGAAGCCCCGGCUAACUACGUGCCAGCAGCCGCGGUAAUACGUAGGGGGCAAGCGUUGUCCGGAAUUACUGGGCGCAAAGGGCGCGUAGGCGGUUUCUUUAGUCAGAGGUGA
rnacentral:rRNA from 1 species